AUGACAGGUUCAACACUCAGAGCACUACUCCUGUGCAAAAAUUUCUUCAUACAGGAUUAUACUUGUGUCUUAUGUAGCAUGCAGAUUCUGGAAACAAGGAACCACCUUUUCUUCACUUGCCCAUUUGCAAAAUUGUGCUAGAAUUACAUCUGCCCCACCUAGACUCCAAAGGGCAUGUACAAUGAAGAGAUUAAUCAACUAAAGCAACUCCUGAAUCUGCCCUUCCCAUUACAGGUCAUGAUCUUGGUGACAUGGGCGAUCUGGACCACUCGGAAUGACUACAUAUUCAAAAACGUCACACCAAGCCUAUAUGCAUGUAGAAGAAAAUUCAAAGAAGAGAUCAAGUGGCUCACUUUCAGAGCAAGGAGGAAAGAAUACUAUGGAUUGGAAGACUGGGUGAAAGCUUUUAUUUGA
rnacentral:rRNA from 1 species